GUUAUAUAGUCAAGCAACUAAGCGCAUACGGUGGAUGCCUUGGCAGUCAGAGGCGAUGAAAGACGUGGAAGCCUGCGAUAAGGCUCGGGGAGCUGGCAAACAAGCUGUGAUCCGGGCAUCUCUGAAUGGGGAAACCCACCGACUUUCGGGUCGGUACCUUACACUGAAUCCAUAGGUGUAAGGGGCGAACCGGGGGAACUGAAACAUCUAAGUACCCCGAGGAAAAGAAAUCAACCGAGAUUCCCUAAGUAGCGGCGAGCGAACGGGGACUAGCCCUUAAGCUAGACAACUGGUAGGAGAAGGCUCUGGAAAGUGCCGCCAUAGUGGGUGAUAGCCCCGUAUCCGAAACCUGAGUCUGGUGAAAUGGGUCAGCGACUUAUGUUCAGUGGCGAGGUUAACCGUUUAGGGGAGCCGUAGGGAAACCGAGUCUGAAUAGGGCGAUUUAGUCGCUGGGCAUAGACCCGAAACCGGGCGAUCUAUCCAUGAGCAGGUUGAAGGUGCCGUAACAGGCACUGGAGGACCGAACCCACUGUCGUUGAAAAGCCAGGGGAUGACUUGUGGAUCGGAGUGAAAGGCUAAUCAAGCCCGGAGAUAGCUGGUUCUCCCCGAAAGCUAUUUAGGUAGCGCCUCGGACGAAUACCACAGGGGGUAGAGCACUGUUUCGGCUAGGGGGUCAUCCCGACUUACCAACCCGAUGCAAACUCCGAAUACCUGUGAGUACUAUCCGGGAGACACACGGCGGGUGCUAACGUCCGUCGUGAAGAGGGAAACAACCCAGACCGCCAGCUAAGGUCCCCAAGUACCAGUUAAGUGGGAAACGAUGUGGGAAGGCUCAGACAGCUAGGAGGUUGGCUUAGAAGCAGCCAUCCUUUAAAGAAAGCGUAAUAGCUCACUAGUCGAGUCGGCCUGCGCGGAAGAUGUAACGGGGCUCAAACUGGUCACCGAAGCUGCGGCUGCAUACUUUGUAUGCGGGGUAGGGGAGCGUUCUGUAAGCCUGCGAAGGUGUGUUGAGAAGCAUGCUGGAGGUAUCAGAAGUGCGAAUGCUGACAUGAGUAACGACAAUGCGGGUGAAAAACCCGCACGCCGGAAGACCAAGGGUUCCUGCGCAACGCUAAUCGGCGCAGGGUGAGUCGGCCCCUAAGGCGAGACCGAAAGGUGUAGUCGAUGGGAAACGGGUUAAUAUUCCCGUACCUUGGAUAGCUGCGAUGGAGAGACGGAGAAGGCUAGGUGAGCCGGGCGACGGUUGUCCCGGUUUAAGCGAGUAGGGAGUGGACUUAGGCAAAUCCGGGUCCACAAUCCCGAGACGUGACGACGACUGCUCAUAGAGCGGGAAGUCAUUGAUGCCAUGCUUCCAGGAAAAUCUUCUAAGCUUCAGGCUAUUCGAGACCGUACCCCAAACCGACACAGGUGGUCAGGUAGAGAAUACCAAGGCGCUUGAGAGAACUCGGGUAAAGGAACUAGGCAAAAUGGUGCCGUAACUUCGGGAGAAGGCACGCUGGCAGUAAGUGAAGCCCCUGCGGGUGGAGCUGAGACCAGUCGAAGAUACCAGGCCCCUGCGACUGUUUAUUAAAAACACAGCACUGUGCAAACACGAAAGUGGACGUAUACGGUGUGACGCCUGCCCGGUGCCGGAAGGUUAAUUGAUGGGGUUAGCGCUUGCGCGAAGCUCUUGAUCGAAGCCCCGGUAAACGGCGGCCGUAACUAUAACGGUCCUAAGGUAGCGAAAUUCCUUGUCGGGUAAGUUCCGACCUGCACGAAUGGCGUAACGAUGGGGGCGCUGUCUCUACCCGAGACUCAGUGAAAUUGAAAUCGCCGUGAAGAUGCGGUGUAUCCGCGGCUAGACGGAAAGACCCCGUGAACCUUUACUAUAGCUUCACAGUGAACUUUGAGCAUGUUUGUGUAGGAUAGCUGGGAGGCUUUGAAGUGGGAACGCCAGUUCUCAUGGAGCCAACCUUGAAAUACCAGCCUGACAUGUUUGAGGUUCUAACUUGGUCCCCUUAUCGGGGAUGAGGACACUGUGUGGUGGGUAGUUUGACUGGGGCGGUCUCCUCCCAAAGCGUAACGGAGGAGCACAAAGGUGGGCUAAGCAUGGUCGGACAUCAUGCGGUUAGUGUAAUGGCACAAGCCCGCUUAACUGCGAGACAGACACGUCGAGCAGGUACGAAAGUAGGUCAUAGUGAUCCGGUGGUUCUGUAUGGAAGGGCCAUCGCUCAACGGAUAAAAGGUACUCCGGGGAUAACAGGCUGAUACCGCCCAAGAGUUCACAUCGACGGCGGUGUUUGGCACCUCGAUGUCGGCUCAUCACAUCCUGGGGCUGAAGCCGGUCCCAAGGGUAUGGCUGUUCGCCAUUUAAAGUGGUACGCGAGCUGGGUUUAGAACGUCGUGAGACAGUUCGGUCCCUAUCUGCCGUGGACGUUGGAGAUUUGAGGAAAGCUGCUCCUAGUACGAGAGGACCGGAGUGGACGAACCUCUGGUGUUCGGGUUGUGACGCCAGUCGCAUUGCCCGGUAGCUAUGUUCGGACAGGAUAACCGCUGAAAGCAUCUAAGCGGGAAGCCCCUUCCAAGAUGAGAUCUCCCUGGACCCUCGAGGUCCCUGAAGAGCCGUUCAAGACCAGGACGUUGAUAGGUCGGGUGUGUAAGCGCUGCGAGGCGUUGAGCUAACCGAUACUAAUUGCUCGUGCGGCUUGACUAUAUAACACCCAAG
rnacentral:rRNA from 1 species